rnacentral:rRNA from 1 species
CUUUAUUGGAGAGUUUGAUCCUGGCUCAGGACGAACGCUGGCGGCGUGCCUAAUACAUGCAAGUCGAGCGAGUCUCUUCGGGGGCUAGCGGCGGACGGGUGAGUAACACGUA